CCUGUCUCAAAAAAUGAAAGUAAAAGAAAUAGAGUAAUAAAAUAAAAAAAGUCACAUAAAGAUGGAAAGUACACAGAAAGUCUGGAUAGUGUAUGUUAUUGUGUUGUCUUUAAAUUUCUGCUAAAGGAGAAACAGUUGCUAAAAGACAUUUGAUUAUAAAUGCUGCUAGAUAAAUCCAACCUAUAUAUUUUGAAUAUUCCUUGACUUUAAAGUUCAAGUAUAAGGACAUGUUACUUUGGAAAAGAGACUGUUUUUGUUUCCACAGAUGAUGAAAAGCUGUGGAUUCCUUCCAGACUAAUAAGGUUUGAUGAAGCAAAAGCCCCUUGGAGCAAUGGCCCAGACAGAAAAGAUGAGAUGAUGGAGGAUGUUCUUCUGUAUACAUGUUUGUGUUAUUGGUUGGAGAAUAAAACACUGGCCAGUAGCUACCAGAUGAGGAGAAUUCUGGGGAGAGGACAAAGAGAGGAGCCACAGGGAAAGCCAUGUAGCUACAGUGAAGAUGGGAUUGCUGGGUGUUCUUUGAUUUUCCAGGCCUGUAGGCUGAAGAUGGAUGCUCCAAUGUGCAAAGGAACCUUGGAUGAUUAUCCAGUCAGCCAACUGUUUAUGUUAUUUCUACAGUUUUGGAAAUUGCUUGCUCUGCACUUCCUGUUUACUCAGGUAAAAUUUUAUCCUUCUCAAGUCUAUGAUGGGGGAUAAAGGCUAGAUAGCAUCACUGUUUUCCUUGUUACCAAAUUCAGAAAAGAAACUUUACAUAAGAAAUAUAGAGUUUAUAUGGUUGAGAAACAAACAAAAAAAAACUUAAGUGAUUUGCCUAAGAUGUUUUAAGGUCUAAAAAGAUAUUUUAGGGUGGUAAUACAGUUAUGAUAGAUAGUGGUUUGGGUAUAAAACUUUGGAUUCCCUAUGAUAUAAUAGAUAAUAUAGUACUUUCUACUAAUUUGCUAAAUGCAUUUGGACUGGACAUUGUGAAUAUAAUUCUUACCUAAUAAUUAUUAUUAUUGUAUGUGGUUUUAUUAUGUUAAAUUUAAAGUCUUCUUCUUAUUAGAUAAGAGGGAGAAAUGUUGGAAGAUAUUUGUAUACACUGUGAAGAUGUGGUGGUUUGAUUGGCUUAAUAAAGAACUGAAUGGCCAAUAACUAGUCAGGAGAGAAUAGGCAGGACUUGCAUGGAGAGAGAGGACUCUGGGUAGAAGAGAGGCAGAGACACAGAACAAGUUAGGUAUAUAGUACAGAGAAGUAACCAAACCAUGUAACAAAAUGUAGAUUAAAAAUAUGGGUUAAUUCAAGUUAUAAGAGCUUGUUGGUAGCAAUCCUAAGCUAAGGCUGAACUUGCAUAAUUAAUGUUAAUUCUCUGUGUCAGUAUUGGGGAGCUGGUGGUCCCACAAAGGAAAGUCUGGCUGCGUUGGAGAAAGUUUACUACACUUAAUGUUAAACUACAGAAAUCCCAGGCACUGCAUUUCCCAUUGGGGUUUGAGGGAAGCUCCAUAUGAGCAACAAGAAGCCAAAAUCUGGGGAAAGGACUGGUGUGAUUUUGAUCACCUGUAACAGCUGCCAAUGUGUGCGCUUUUAUGUCACUUCCUCCCCUUCACAUAGAGCACUAGGACUUUAAUACUCUGAGAAUAAAAUAAUUUGAAGAUUUCACAACCUUUUGAUCCAAAAAUACUUAAUGAUACAGAAUUUUCCUUGAUGUUAUACAGUACAUUAAAUGGGGAAUUACUUUUGGUUAAAAAUUUGACUGUUGAAAUGAUAGAUUCCAUAAUUUUACCAUUAAAUCUGACACAGAAAAAUUAAGUCACCUUGGCUAACGGAUGGCACUUUGACACUUUCAUAAAUUUCCCCACUGUUUUUAACUGACCCAUACAUUCAUGCAUGCAGUGAUUAGUUUUAUUUAUCAUCUUGACACAAUCUGGAAUCACACAGGUAGGGAUUAUCAAUGAAGGAUUGGCCUAUAGGCAUGUCUGUGAUGAUGGUGGUGGGGUGGUUGCCUUACUUAGGUUAAUUGAGGCAGAAACAUUUGCCUACUGUGAGUGGCUUCAAUUGUAGGUGAUCCUGGUUAUCCCCAAACAAUGUGAGUGGGGAACUUGAGCUGAAUGCAAAUAUGCAUGCAUUCAUUCUCACACUGCUCUUCAACAAGAUGUGACUAGCUAUUUCAAGUUCCUGUGGCCUUCCCUGCUGUGAUGUGUUACCUAGUACUGAGAAAGAAAAUAAACCCUCUAUACAUUGCUUUUACCAUGUUAUUUUUUUUUUAAAUCACAGUAGCAGGAAAUAAAACUAAGACAAUUCCCUGUUUGAUGUGAAUAUUCUAGAACAUAUUUAUGUAUUAGUGACUGGAAAAUGCAGCAUCUUUUAAUAUGGAGUUUGCAGAAGAAAACAGAUUUUAAUUAAAUUUGCAGGUCACAACAAUAGAUUCUGAAUUAGGUACGAUUAGGCAUCUGAAAUUGAGUUUCAAAGUAUGGUCAGGGAGAUUUGCUUUUUCCAUUAAGCCAAAUAAAUUUAUCAGAAAAUUUAGACUGAGUGGAUUGGCCACACAAUACAGAAAGCACAAAAACUUAAAUUUUAAAAUAGUAUUUGCCUUCAUGGUCUUUUUCUCUGCUAAAAUUUCAGGAGCUCUUAAUAAAUUAAAGCCACUGAUAAAUAACCAAAUAUCUAGUAGCGUAAGAAGACACUUAUGUAACAGUAUAGAUGAGUGGACGCUGGUAUUAUUUCCACCAAAUCUGUGGAUUGUGCAUUAGUGCAUAUGGAAUGGACUUCUGUGUAGCACAACAACACAGAAGUGGGCAAAGAAGGCAGGGAGACUUAAUAGGUGAUAUCUAUUCAAUGCUCAUGGAAAGAAAAUGAAUGUGAGUGAAUUUGCCAAAGAAGAGAUAUGCACUAAAGAAAAUAAGUUAGCCACUGAUGUGCAAGAUUUCAAAAUAUAGUUGAUGUUCAUGAAAGCCAGUGAAUCAUCUGAAGAACAACUGUACAAUCCAUCACAAACUCUAUAAUCUCAGAACCAUAUACUUUUCAUACACUGAAUUAUUUUUGUUGUUGUUCAUUUAGUUUUUUCUUAGAGUUUUAAAUUGUUAACAAUUAUGUCAAUCAUUAUGCUUUAUAUUUUAUCUUUGAAUCAUUUUCCAUAUUGAAUCAUUUCUAUAGUAGGCAAUAAUUAUGUAAGGACUUUUAGGGACAUUCUGUGCAAUAUUCUGCAUAUUUGUCUCCAUAAAAUAAAAGUAAAAUACCACAAGAGUAAUUUUGCCUGCAAGUCUUAUUUGGGCAUCUAUGAAAACUGAAAUUUUUAUGAUAAAUGUGGUCAUGUCAUUCUUCUACAACUAUAUUUGCAAAAGAUGAAGCAACUUGAGACUUCAGCUCAUUGGGUAUAGUCUACACAAUGGUGAGCAUUGCAAGGCCUGACCCAACUUGUCAAAACAUGUAAGUUAUCCAUCAUGAUAUGUAUAUGAACACUGCAGUAUUGGAACUGGUGUCCUCAGUUUUCAGACAGUGACAAUCACUCAUGAAUUUUGCUUGUGUCCUGUUUCUUAAUGAACACAGUACAUCUUCUCAUGGCAUUAUCCUUAAGCAAGUAUUAUGAGCACGCAUACUUGCUUGCAGAAUGUUAUGUUUUUAUUAUAUGUUGGUUAUGUAAAAUGCCCCAGGAAUUAUCAUACUGACUAUCUAGGUUCUUUAAAUUAUGCUCCUUUAAAAUGUAAAUGAAUCAUUAUUAAGGAAUUUUAGAUUAUUUUUCUGAAUUAUGUAUCUAGGAUUUGGGUUUUUGAUGAUUUUUUUCUUUAGAGAUUUCACACUUUAGGGAUUUUGACCUUUUCAAUGUUCAGCAUUCAAGAUUAUGAUAUUUACUAUGUCUCUAGGUAACAUGGGGAAAGCCCACGUUUUGAAUUUAAACUCAAAUUGUAUGAUUUCAAAACUGAGCCUUUCACAUGGAGAGUUUUGUACUCCCUCACUCAAAGGGUAGAUUUCAGAGGCAACCAUAGAUAACAUCUGUGCAAAUGACUCUGAGUUUCCUCUCCAAACUUCUCUUCUACGAUCUCUUGUCUUAUUCUCAGCAAACACAUUGCUUUCUGCAUCAAAUCUUCUUCUUCUUCUUAAAAAUAGUUGUAUUGGAUGAAUAGUAUUUCCCAGACAAUUCUUCUCUGGGAAAUACUAUUCAUCCAGCUUUCAGCAUUUUCCUCGGCAGAGCACUCCCCUGUCAACUUUAGCAUGACUAGUGCUGUAGUCCUUGUUCAGUUUUUGUGAGGUAGUCAUGUUGGGAUUACUUUUUUGCUUCUGAUAUUCUUGAGAGACACGGUUCUCACAGCAAACUCCCUGAAAACAUACACUCAAGUAACAUUAUACAGACUUGACAGGUUAUAUUUAUGUACUUAGAAAUAUAUGUAUAUACCUCUUGUUUGAUUGCUUUAAUCUGGGAGUAACCUGGGUUGGAAAUCAUAGGGUAGAACUGUGUUCCUCUGUCUGGCUCCAGGGGGCAGCAGCUUCUUGGGCAAAGGGAGACAAACUGUGAGGAACAAACUGUAACUGGUAGAUCUAGUGUCUUAAACCCCAGAGGAAAGGGGAGACACCCCCCCCACACACACACACACACUAAAAUGGACAGCUCUAAAAAGACCUAAAAUCCCCAGAAAUCACACAUCAAUUCAAAAGAAAUGAUGGCUUUCGGGAGAUCCUCAGAACAUGAAAUUCACUGGUGUUGUGAGAGUAUUUUUCUUGAAGGGUUUUCCUUAGAUUUUCCUGGAUGAGAUUUGGUGAGAGCAGAUUUAUUUUUAACAAGUGCACACACAUGGCAUCCUCUUUCUUAGUGACAAGAACUUCUCAUAUUUCCCAAAUGUGCCUGGCAAGCCCUGCAACCAGAGAAAGGAGACUGGGAGACCUGCUGUUCCAUGGUGCAUGACAGGAGACAGAGAGCCAGUCUGGUUUCCCUCUCAGGACCGAUUCAAGGGGGAUGUGCUUCAUUCACAGUCAUGUCCACACUCUCUCUUACCCAGUGGUAUAUCUGAAUAUUUACUCUAUUUUCUUCUUGUCAUUAUUGGAAAAGCAGGAAGAAAAGUAGCUUAAUGCAUGAGAGUGGGGUAAUUCUAUCAGGAUUGCCAACAUUUUGUUUUCUUCAUCUUCUCUUUCUUACAUGUGGCUUUAAGCCCAGUGCUUGUAGCAUGAGCCCUUGAAAUUCUAGCAGCCAGAAAGCUGAGGUUUCUGACAGAAUGAAUAUGCAUGGCACACAUAAUCUACAAUUUAUUAGGCUGCUUCACAGGUCAUUAUUGAGAUUUGAUUGUAAUGCUUGGUGGCAUUAACAUCCUCUCCACAUCCCCCUAACAACGUUUAUGGUCAGUAAUAAUAUUAGCUCAAUCCGUGAGCCUCAGUCUGCAGAAUAAAGCAACUUGAGCUCAUCUUGCCUCAUUACUUCUAACAGGGCUCCUGUAGUCAUAUCACACUUCAGUGACAAGCCAGACAGAACGACAUCUUUUAAAUAUUGUCUCUGACAUACUUCUCUCUGAAACGCUAGCCUUUCAAUUAGUGCUGUGCAUCAGAAGUGACAGAUUCUAGAAGAGUCACGUCUCUAAGCGAGCCUAGUAAUAGGUGAUCCACCAAACUAGUGGGCUAGAGAAGAUAACCAUGAAUAAAUUCACUACAUCCUGUUUGAAGAUGUUUCCACAGCACAGACAGGCACUGGUCAAGAUGCCCACCUAUCUCUCCUGACAUUAUGUUCCCAUUUUUCAGGUUCUGCAUCCUUUGCAACUAAAGGCUAUCUCCUUCACCUAUAGGCUUUACAGAUACCAAGAGUGUUCUCCCAUGGGAGCUCAUAGGUGAUACCCUAUUUGUGGAGGACUGCAAAUGCCUGUUUCCUUUGCCUUUGGGACACACAACCUGACAUGUGAUUUAUACUGCAUAGACCUUGUAGGAUCAAGCUGAGGUUGAGGCUUAACUCAAAAUCACACCAAUGCAUGUUUUCUUCCCCUCCCUGACUGAUUCCCACAAGCCUCUACUCUCCAGGGAACUCCUCUGUAAUAAAUCACUUGGCAGGAAUGCUUGGCUCAGAGUCUGCUUUGGGAAGAGCAGGACCUCAGAUGUAUCUGGAGGCUCCCAAAUCCAGCUGUGUGAAUACUCAUAACUAUUUUAUUUGGGAAUUCAUUCGGCCAUCACAGAAACAUCUAGGAACACAAAUCAUUUGUAUUCCCACACAUCCAAUUCCCUUCUUCACCCCUGGUCAAGGCCCAGGAGCCUUCAGCAGAUUGUGCCUUGUCAAAGAAGGGAAUCAACAUGUUUCUGACUGCUUGCCAUUGUCAGUUAUGGUCUUAAUUCCAGCUUUGUGCUCUCACCCAUCACUUUGAGCAUGUGUUACUAGAUCUGUUUUAUAGUCAAGAAAGCUGAAGUUCAGAGAGGUUAUAAAAACAGAACAAAUUCCCACAAACUAAGACACAACUCGGGCUUUUAAGCUUCAAAUCCAGUGAGUUGUGCACAAACUUUACAGCUUUGAUGUUCCCACCUGAAAGUAAAUAAUGCUGAGAAGAGGUCACAUCACCAUUGCAUCUAGAACCAGACAGAGCCCAGUCCUCUCCAGCAUCAUGACAAUGACUAAGUGCCAUGAUUAUGCUGAAGCACAAUGACAAUGACUAAGCCGCCAACCUCUCAUUCCUAGUUAUUUCAAGUCCGGUCUAUUCUCAAGAGGCUCCUAGACUCCACUGAGCUUCACUCUCCUUUCCUGCAGCACCCGAAGAAGCUUAAUUAUGUUGCCAUCAGAGGAGUCCCUGGUGGUUUCAUUGUCUGCAUUUCUUGAUUUAUCAGCAAACAACAACAACAAAAAACCGCACACUCCUACAACAGAAAAACCCACACCAGAGAAGCACAGAAAGCCUUCCACAAAUGGAGAGAAAGGAGAAUUCUGUGUCGUAUAUAGAAACAACCAGCAACUUCUGAGAUGAAUAUUUAUUCUUUAAAGCUCCUGGUAUUUGUGCUGUAUACAUUGUCAUCGUUAAAAAUGUGAAGGCGGUCAAUAAACUCUCCAAACAGAGCAACCUCUUGGGCUUGUGAGCAUCUGCAAGAAGAAAAUUUCAUACCCUACAGCCUGGAAAAGGAAAUGCCUCAACCAAUUUUCCUGCACAGUGUGGAUGGAGUGACAAACACCUUCCCAGAGAGCCUCCAAGGAGGCAAACAAGGCAGAGGAGAGAAAGAACAUAGAAAAAUCCAUGUCUUGCAAAUGCCAAGAGAGAAAACAAUCAAAUUAUCUGGC